rnacentral:rRNA from 1 species
UGGGGAAUUUUGGACAAUGGGCGAAAGCCUGAUCCAGCAAUGCCGCGUGUGUGAAGAAGGCCUUCGGGUUGUAAAGCACUUUUGUCCGGAAAGAAAUCCUUGGCUCUAAUACAGUCGGGGGAUGACGGUACCGGAAGAAUAAGCACCGGCUAACUACGUGCCAGCAGCCGCGGUAAUACGUAGGGUGCAAGCGUUAAUCGGAAUUACUGGGCGUAAAGCGUGCGCAGGCGGUUGCUAAGACCGAUGUGAAAUCCCCGGGCUCAACCUGGGAACUGCAUUGGUGACUGGCAGGCUAGAGUAUGGCAGAGGGGGGUAGAAUUCCACGUGUAGCAGUGAAAUGCGUAGAGAUGUGGAGGAAUACCGAUGGCGAAGGCAGCCCCCUGGGCCAAUACUGACGCUCAUGCACGAAAGCGUGGGGGAGCAAACAGGAUUAGAUACCCUGGUAGUCCACGCCCUAAACGAUGUCGACUAGUUGUUGGGGAUUCAUUUCCUUAGUAACGUAGCUAACGCGUGAAGUUGACCGCCUGGGGAGUACGGUCGCAAGAUUAAAACUCAAAUGAAUUGACGGGGUCAUAGCUGUUUCC